GACGAACGCUGGCGGCGCGCUUAACACAUGCAAGUCGAACGGAAAGGCCUGCUUUCCCUUGUGGAUUGCGGGUACUCGAGUGGCGAACGGGUGAGUAACACGUGAGUGAUCUGCCCCCAACUUGGGUAUAAGCCUGGGAAACUGGGUCUAAUUCCCGAUAGGACUGCAGGGUGGUGCCUGUGGUGGAAAACGAUUUUCUAGUGGUUGGGGAUGAGCUCGCGGCCUACCAGCUUGUUGGUGGGGUAAUGGCCUACCAAGGCGGCGACGGGUAGCCGGCCUGAGAGGGUGGACGGCCACAUUGGGACUGAGAUACGGCCCAGACUCCUACGGGAGGCAGCAGUGGGGAAUAUUGCACAAUGGGCGGAAGCCUGAUGCAGCGACGCCGCGUGGGGGAUGACGGCCUUCGGGUUGUAAACUCCUUUCGACCGCGAGGAAGCCACCUGGUUGGAAGGGUGGUGACGGUAGUGGUAGAAGAAGCACCGGCUAACUACGUG
rnacentral:rRNA from 1 species